UUGAUCCUGGCUCAGAUUGAACGCUGGCGGCAGGCUUAACACAUGCAAGUCGAGCGGAGAGAGGUAGCUUGCUACUGAUCUUAGCGGCGGACGGGUGAGUAAUACUUAGGAAUCUGGCUAUUAGUGGGGGACAACAUUUCGAAAGGGAUGCUAAUACCGCAUACGUCCUACGGGAGAAAGCAGGGGAUCUUCGGACCUUGCGCUAAUAGAUGAGCCUAAGUCGGAUUAGCUAGUUGGUGGGGUAAAGGCCUACCAAGGCGACGAUCUGUAGCGGAUCUGAGAGGAUGAUCCGCCACACUGGGACUGAGACACGGCCCAGACUCCUACGGGAGGCAGCAGUGGGGAAUAUUGGACAAUGGGGGGAACCCUGAUCCAGCCAUGCCGCGUGUGUGAAGAAGGCCUUAUGGUUGUAAAGCACUUUAAGCGAGGAGGAGGGUACUGGUAUUAAUACUACCAGGUACUGGACGUUACUCGCAGAAUAAGCACCGGCUAACUCUGUGCCAGCAGCCGCGGUAAUACAGAGGGUGCGAGCGUUAAUCGGAUUUACUGGGCGUAAAGCGUGCGUAGGCGGCUAAUUGAGUCGGAUGUGAAAUC
rnacentral:rRNA from 1 species